UCCGUAGGUGAACCUGCGGAAGGAUCAUUAUUGAAUUCAAAUCAUCUGUGGCUUCGGCCCGGAUGUGCCAACAGGUAACACUGUUGGUAAUUCUAUCCAUAACACCUGUGAACUGUUGGAUGCUUGCAUCCACUUUUAAACUAAACAUUAUUGUAACAAAUGUAGUCUUAUUAUAACAUAAUAAAACUUUUAACAACGGAUCUCUUGGCUCUCGCAUCGAUGAAGAACGCAGCGAAAUGCGAUAAGUAAUGUGAAUUGCAGAAUUCAGUGAAUCAUCGAAUCUUUGAACGCACCUUGCGCUCCUUGGUAUUCCGAGGAGCAUGCCUGUUUGAGUGUCAUGAAACUCUCAAACCCAAGUUUUGGAUUUCGGUCCAUGCUUGAGUUUGGAUUUGGAUGUUUGCCGGUGAUGAACCGACUCAUCUUAAAAGUAUUAGCUAGAUCUGUCUCUAUGACUGGUUUGACUUGGCAUAAUAAGUAUUUUGCUGAGGACAUCUUUCGGGAUGGCCAGGACCUAGACUAUUGUCUGCUAACUAAACCAUCACUUUAAGUGCAUCUUUGGAUGUUACUCAUUGUGUAACUUUGACAUCUGGCCUCAAAUCAGGUAGGACUACCCGCUGAACUUAAGCAUAUCAAUAAGCGGAGGA
rnacentral:rRNA from 1 species